UACUAAAGGAUACAGCCAGGAGGAU
rnacentral:piRNA from 1 species